rnacentral:rRNA from 1 species
UAGGGAAUCUUCGGCAAUGGGGGGAACCCUGACCGAGCAACGCCGCGUGAGUGAAGAAGGUUUUCGGAUCGUAAAGCUCUGUUAUAAGCGAAGAACAGGAGUAAGAGUGGAAAGUUUACUCUAUGACGGUAGCUUAUCAGAAAGGGACGGCUAACUACGUGCCAGCAGCCGCGGUAAUACGUAGGUCCCGAGCGUUGUCCGGAUUUAUUGGGCGUAAAGCGAGCGCAGGUGGUUUAAUAAGUCUGAAGUUAAAGGCAGUGGCUCAACCAUUGUACGCUUUGGAAACUGUUAAACUUGAGUGCAGAAGGGGAGAGUGGAAUUCCAUGUGUAGCGGUGAAAUGCGUAGAUAUAUGGAGGAACACCGGUGGCGAAAGCGGCUCUCUGGUCUGUAACUGACACUGAGGCUCGAAAGCGUGGGUAGCGAACAGG